UGCUGUAGCCGUUGCCCCGAACGUAACGGCCACCACCCCAACCCGCACUCACACUCACUCACUCUCGCUCUCUCUCCCUCAGACACACAGACAUACACGCCCUCACGCAAAGUGCGCAGGCGCAGCUUCCGGGCUGCCCUCUGGGAAUUAGAGUCUUCCUGCCCCUCUCCUGGCUAUUAAAUGCUGCAAUCCUGGACCCAGAAGAAACUACAAAUACCGUGAGGCCAAGCGGCGCAGCGCCGGCAGAGAGGAGGAAGAGGAAGGCAAAAGGAAAGGGGGCAGAAAGGAGAGCGGUGAUUCGCGUAGCCUGCCGGAAGUUGUAGUUUUAACUGCAUCUUUUUUUUGUCAUCUUCCCCACUCUGGGGCCCAAGUAAGACAUCCUAAGACACCACAUUUCCUAGGAUGCUUUGCGGUGCGUCCGGUACCACUUCCCCUUGGGCGGAGAGGAAAGUACAGGGAAGCUUGGUGAAAACGGCGUUAAAGGGAAUGGGUGUCCGAAGCAGGGGGACUGAAGUUCACAACUCCUAGAAGGGGUGGGGAGAGGAAAGGUUCUCAGUGAAGAAGGUACAGUAAAUAAAUGUCCAGGGGUAUGAUGGGCUGGGAAGUUGAAUGAAAUGGUUAGUAGUCUCGGCUGGAGGUCAUAUGAGAAGGGAGAAAAUAGUGAAUUGAUUCUCGGGGUGUCUCUCAGGGUCUUUUUUCCGCCCCACCUCGCCAUCCUCAUUUCUACUGUUAUCCCAAGCCACUGAAGCGCCUGAGCAGCUACCCGCCUUUUCUGCCUUUUUUUCCUCUCUAGGCAGGGUCGCUGAGGCGCCAUUUGGUUUCUCGUUGCCUGUACGUCUUUGCCAUUUACAGUACAGAUAACAAUAUCUUGGGUCGUACAGAGUUUUAUAUGCAUAUACAGAACCUACUAACGAAAUAUGAUUCUGUAUGCUUCUUAUACUCUCUCCAGAGAAUAACAGCUCUCACUUGUUAAGUUCUUAACAUAUGUCUGGCACAGUGUCAAGCAUUUACAUACAAGAAAUCAUUUGACCUAAAUCAUAAUUCUAUUAGGAAACAUGUAUAGAGAGGAAAUAACUUGCUUAAGUUCGCACAGCCAGUAAGUCACUGGAGAGACAUUCAGACUUAAAUAUGUACCCAUUUUAUAGACGGCCGUAGGAAGGAAAUGUUAGGCCAGUAUUAGUACAUUAGCUCGCAACUAACGUUUGUUUAGUUUUGUAGAGGGUCAGCGAAAAAGAGGAGCACCCUCAAUGAGAUGGAUUGACACAGUGGCUGCAACAAUGGACUUAAGCAUAAUAACGAUUGUGAGGUUGGCACAUGACAGGGCAGUGUUUUGUUCUGUUAUACAUACAGUCCCUAUGACUCAGAGCCAACUCAAUGGCAUUUAACGAUAACAUUUGGUUACUAUUGUUUUAUAGUUUACAUAGAUAAUCUCAUCCUCACCCCAGUCCUGUAAUACUUUAACCAGGUAUUGUUGAUCUCAUUUCCAGUUGUGGAAACUGAAGCUAGGAGAGAUUAAGUGUUCAGAUACUAUUUAAUUCAGAUUUCAAAUACAUAAAAAUGCUAACUUCAUAUUAAAGUAAUAAGACUGCUUUACAUAGUUAUCAAGUAAUAUGCAAUAAAAAUGGACAUUCCAGGAUUUCUUGGUGUCAGAAUUUUUAUUAAAAAAUGAGAUCUGAAUAUCUCAAACUAGCAGCAGCAGGUCCAGAAGUUAUUAAUAUAUUUGCACAAAAAGGAAUCCCUGGAUGGUGCAGUUAUGCUCAGCUGCUAACCAAAAGGUUGGAGGAUAAGUCCAACCAGAGUUGCCUGGGAAGAAAGGUCCGGUGAUCUACUUCUGAAAAAUCAGCCAUGGAAAACCCUGUGGAGUCCGAUUUUACUCUGACACUUAUGGGUUCACCAUGAAUCAGAACUGACAGCAACUGGUUUUUUGUACAAGCAGGCAUAGUUGCAUUGACAUUAUUAAAGUAAAAAUAGAGACACAUUUAAUAUAGUAGAAGAUAAGAAGCUCAAUAUUAAUGCUCUUAAGCCUAAUAUUUUACAGUCCAAAUUAAUAUUAAUUUUAAAUAGCUAGGACCAGAUAACCAGUGUUGUUGCAGUAGGAGAAUGCUUGUCACUGCUGUUGAGUUACUUUUACUUCUUUCUCUUUUUUUCUUUCUCUUCGUUUAGAACCUGAAGGGUACUUUAGGGAUGAAAGAAAAUAAAGUUCAGGAGUUUACUAAAAUGAAACGCUUGUACCUUCAUUCCAGUAUUUUCUAGGCCAAAUCAACUAUUUUGAGUUUUUACAGAAGGGUGUAACCCUUCUCUCUGUACCUGUUUAGCUGCCUUCUGAACACAGUCUAAUUUAGUUCCUUCCAUGAGCAUGACACAAAAAGUCAGAACAAGAAAUACGUGACAUAUUUUCCAUAUUUAUAGUUGCACAAGACAAAUUUUAAUAGGUGAGAGAAGAGCAGAAGUACAAGCCAGCAUACUUUUUUUUUUGAGUCAUUUGCAUAAAUCCUUCCAUAUUCUAAGACAGGAGUGCAUCACAAUGAUCACGUAUAGAAUUUAAAUCUAAGGCAGUCCGCAAACAGGAGUUUCAAGUGGGCAGUGGCUUAUUGUGGGAAAUUAUGUGUGUAUCCUAAAUUAAAGCAUCAGCACUAGGUGUCAGCAAAUCACAACCAUUGGAGAACUCCUCAAACUGAGAAUUGGUAGAAUAGCAAUAAACGAACAGUGCAUACUUAACAAGGACGCUUCUCACACAGUAUCUUCCAUUCCAAUACUAAUGUUCACAAAGCCUGCCAUUUGCCAGAGUGUGUCCCAUAAAUUCUAUAGAUGUCAGUAUGGAUAAACAAAUUAUGGUACAUACACAUGGUAGAAUACUAUGCAGUGAAAAAGAACAAUGAUGAAUCUGGGAAACAUCUCACAACAUGGAUAAAGCUGGGGGGUGUUAUGCUGAGUGAAAUAAAUCCAUCACAAAAAGACAAAUAUUGGAUGAGACCACUAUCGUAAAAACUCAACAAAAGGUUUACACACAGAGAAAAGCAAUCUUUGAUGGGUGAGAGGGGGGGAUGGCAAAUCAAUAGAUAGUAGACAAGUGUUAACUUUAGUGAAGGGAAAGGCAAUACACAAUACAGGGGAAGUCAGCACAACUUGACCAAGGCAAAGUCACAGAAGUUUCCUAAACACACUGAAACACUUUGGGGACUGAGUUGCUCAGGAUAAGGGCUGGGGACCAUAGUUUUGGGGGUAUCUAGGUCACUUGGCAUAACAUGGUUCAUAAAGAAAGUGUUCUACAUCCGACUUUUGGUAAGUAGCAUCUGGGGUCUUAAAAGCUUGCAAGUGACCAUCUGAGAUGCAUCUAUUGGUCCCAUCAUGUUCAGAGCAAAGGUGAAUGAAGAAAAUCAAAGACACAUGGAAAAUAUUUCCCCAAAGGACUAAGGGACCACAUGAAAAACUGCCUCCACCAGCCUGAGCCCAGAAGAACUAGAUGGUGCCCAGCUACCACCGCUGACUGCUUUGACAGGGAUCACAAUAAAGAAUACUGGACAGAAUGGGAGAAAAAUAUAAAACAAAAUUCUAAUUCACAAAAAAAGACCAGACUUACUGGUCUGACAGAGACUGGAGGAACCCCCGAGACUGUGGUCUCUGGACACCCUGCUAACUAGGAACUAUUUCUUGGUUCAAUCAAAUAUAUGAGACCAAAUGAGCAACUCCUGCCCAAAAGCAAGAUGAGAAGGCAGGAAGGGGCAGGAAAACUGGACAAAUGGACAUGGGGAAAUGAGUGGAAAGGGGUAGAGUGUUGUCACAUUGUGGGGAUUGCAACCAAUGUCACAAAACAAUCUGUAUAUAAAUUCUUGAUUGAGAAACUAGCUUGAGCUGUAAACUUUCACCUAAAGCACAAAAAAAAAAAUUUUUUUUAAGUUACGUUUGCUUGUUUUGCACAUUGUUUUACCUAGAUUGUACAUUUUGGUGUAAACCAGGGAUGCUGAUUAAGAUAAUGGGCAACUUGACACUACUAUUGCUAUGUAGCUAUUCCACACUCCUCUGGCUACAAACCAUUUUGAACCUGUAGCACAGGCAUACACUUUAGGCGAAGCUCAUGCAGACAAAUAUUGCCUCUUAUUAUAGUUUCUGCUUUUAUUAGUGUGCUGGAAAAGGUUGUCUUCAUCUCUGAGAUCGGUUAAUGCUUGCCCAUGUUUUGUGUUAAUAUAUGGGGGUUUUUUUACAUGGAAUUUUUUAAUCCAGCUGACAUGUAUUUUGUAUAUGAUAUAAGGGAGAGAUUCAAUUUUUAUUUGUUUUCUUGCUUAUUUAUUUUUGCAGAAUACCAGUAGUCCCAUAAUCUUGGAUUAAAGCAUUUUUUAUUUUGUUUUCAGGUGCAGAACCCUUCAGAUUAAAAACCCAAUGCUGUAGAGUUGAUUCCAACUCAUAGCAACCCUGUAAGACAGAGUAGAGCUGCCCCAUAGAGUUUCCAAGACUGUAAAUCUUUAUGGAAGCAGACAGCUGCAUCUUUCUCCUGCAGAGCAGCUGGUGGGUUUAAGCCACCAAUCUUUCGGUUAGCAACUGAGUGUUCAACCACUGCGCCACCAGGGCUCCUUCAGUGUUUUCAUCUGUUAAAUGAAAGUGGUAAUUGCACUGCCUGGUGAUCUGCUUCCAUAAAGAUUACAGCCAUAACCUUCCAUAAAGAUUACAGAGUAGAGCUGUGGAGCCAUGAGUCAGAAUUGACUCAAAGGCAAUGGGUUUGGUUUUGUUUUUAAUAAGAUUAUGAUAAGGAUUAAAUCAGUGCAUGUGAAAGUGCUUAGAACAGUGCCUGGGAAAUAGUAAGUGUGCAACCAUUGGCUGAUAUUAAUAUGAUGAUAAUUCAUGUGUGCAGAGAUGGAAAAGAGGAGGAAAUAAGUGUACCUACUAUGUGCCAGAUACUUCCAUGGUUUCCUUAUUUGAUCUUUUUGAGUUAGAUAUCGUUCCCUUUCAACAUAUGAAGAAACUAAAAUUCAGGGAGGUUAUGUAUGAAAGGAAGGAACCCUGGUGGCACAGAGGUUAAGCACUUGGCUGCUAACUGAAAAGUCGGUGGUUCAAACCUACCAGCCACCCCGCAGGAGAAAGAUGUGGGAGAAAGUUGUGGCAGUCUGCUUCCUUAAAGAUUACAGCCUUGGAAACCUUAUGGGGCAGUUCUACUCUGUCCUAUAGGGUUGCUAUGAGUCAGAACCAACUCAAUGCCAAUGGGUUUAGAUUUUUUGGUUUUAUGUAUGGAAGGGAUAGAACGAAUCAUUAGGCCCAUUUCUAGGAACAAGGAUAUGAUGAAUACUGAAAGCCACAUGGCCAGGAGAUGAAACAGAGCUGAGGAAUGAGACAGAAAAUGGGCCUGCAAAAUUGUACAGUCCUUUAGGAACAAGGGUUAGUGUUUUAAGACACGGGAUUGGGUGAGUGAACCAUCUGGUAUCAGAAAACUGGUCUCUGAAAACCUGACUCUUUUUAUGCUGGUUGUAUUUUCUGUAAAUGUUUCCUGUUUUGUUCUCCCUUUUAUAUGCUAAAAUUAUUUCUGAAAUAUCAGUCUAUCUUAUUUGCAUUUUGGGGAGCAAAAAGAAAAAGGGGAUCUUUGGCCGUCUUCUGCUGGAGCUUUCCAGGAGAAUGUGUCAGCUAGAGACCAGGUAUGUUGAGAUUCAAAUGCAGGAAUCUCAAAACGGAAAAGAUAUGCAGGAAGGUAAAGGCCGCUUCCCCAGAGGCUUCCGGAGUUUUCUCUGCUCUAGCCUGGAAAGGUUUUGUACAAUGUUUCAGUGAAGACGACUUUGACUUGCUCACCUGUCCAGCAUGACUCAUCCCUAAGAGUAAGUGAAAUUUUACGGUAUUUAUGUUUUUGUGACUUACGGAGCGUGGUGGAAAGGGCAUGGACUUUGAAGUCAGAUAAGCCUGGGGUAAAUGCCUGGCUUUGUCACUUAUUAACUGUGUAAUGUUGGGUGAGUUAGUAAACUUCUCUGGGCGCCUUCAUCUUUGAAGUGGGAAUAACAAAACCUUUCUCAUAGCAUUGUGAAAAUUGAAUGAGGCAGCAGAAUUGAAAGUGGAAGUAGAACCUCUGGCACGCACAGGCACUCAGUGCCCUCCCUUUCCGUCAGAUUGUGGGUUCAGGGUAAGCACUUGGCCAUGUCUUCUAUUUAUUUUUAUAGUUUUCUACUCUGUCUGGUGCAGUGCAUAGUGCCUUGUUUACAGUAAGCAUCCUAUAAAUGCUGACUGAGCAUUGGCAAACAUGCUCAGAAACUAUAUUGGCUAAAUAAAUCUUAGGUGUAUUUUAAUAUUUAUCAAUCUAUUUAUCUUGUCAUAGAGGAAAAAAGCUGACAAGUGCAGAUAAAUAAAUGUAGUGUCCCUGCUUGAGGCCACUUGACUCCAGGGGAGAUAGAGGCUAAGCUCUAUCCCUCUCUCCUUGCAAAGCCUUGGUUCUGGAGCCCAGCGCAGCCUCCUGAGGGCACCUGGUUUUUAUUUACGCAGAGGCAGCCAUCUGUGAGUUUCAACGAUCGGGAAAGACCCAUCCCUGAUCUCUUGCCACCUCAGGUUUCCUUCGACAGUUGCAGCUGAGCUCUCAUUUCCACUGGGCCUCUGUCACUGGUAAAUUCUGCAAACGGAACUACUGUGGAAAUGACCAAGAACUCAGCCUAAGACAGUACACCUCUGCUAACUAACUACUACACCUCUGCUAAUAGCAAGCGGCCAUCUAAGAUACAUCAACUGGUCUCAACUCGCCUGGAGCAAAGGAGAAUGAAGAACACCAAAGACACAAGGAAAAUAUGAGCCCAAGGGAAAGAAAGGGCUACAUAAUCCAGAGACUCCAUCAGCCUGGGACUGGAAGAACUAGAUGGUGCCUGGCUACCACCAGUGACUGCCCUGAUAGGGAACACAUCAGAGAAUCCCUGAUGGAGCAGGAGAAAAGCAGGAUGCAGACCUCAAAUUCUAGUAAAAAAGAACAGACUUAAUGGUCUGAUUGAGACUGCAGGGACCCCAGAGGUCAUGGCCGCCAUACUCUCUGUUAGCCCAAAACUAUAACCAUUCCCAAAGCCAACUCUUCAGACAAAGAUUAAAGUGGACUAUAUACUUUUUAUAAGAUAUAAAAUGAUACUGGUGAGGAGUGUGCUUUUUAACUCAAGUAGACACAUGAGAUUAUGUGGGCGGCUCCUGUCUGGAGGCGAGAUGAGAAGGCAGAGGGGUACAGGAGCUGGUUGAACGGACAUAGGAAAUACAGGUUGGAGAGGAGUGUGUGGUCACAUUGUAGGGAGAGCAACUAGGGUCAUACAACAAUGUGUAUAUAAGCUUUUGUAUAAGGAACUGACUUGAAUUGUACACUUUCACUUAAAGCACAAUAAAAGAAAAGAAGCGACAUUCCUUACUAUUCUUUGUUCUCACAAAUUUUCAAUUAUUUCAUCAAAAUUAGGCUGCUGAACAAUAUCGAUUUCCAUACAUAACAAGGAAAAUGAAUCAAGUCUUUCCUGAAUCGUUGUGUGCUGAGGGUUUUGAGUCUCUUUAGGGAUGAAAAUGAGUGCUUUGUUGUGCAGUUUGUGAUUAUUAAAGUUAGGAAUAUGUGUAAGGCAAUUUCAAAGUUGGGAAAUACACUAUGUAUUUUAUCUCCUAUUAUGAAGUAGUACAUACCUACAUGAGUAAAAUUUGUCUUUCCUGAAUCUGUAAACUGAGGUCUCAUGUAAGACUGAAAUUAUUGCACUUCUCCAUUAAGAUUUGUGUUUAAGUCAUUAGGACAGGCCUGCACCAGUUUCUUGGAUGCCUUCAUGUAUUCUUCAUCAGGUAUAUCCACAUUGCUUAAGAAGGCAAAUCUAUUUGAAAGAACUUCAUACACUUUCGCCCUCCUUUCCAUACAAGGUUCAGGUGUAUCAAUGAUGGUGUAGUAUGUGGUUACAUGAAACUGAUCUUCUGGAGCCCUUCUGUCAUUUACUUGUUUCUUUCUAAUGCUUCUGCAAUGGUGAACUACUUGCUAGUCAGUAUUUGGCAGUAUUUCUUUUGUUCUGUUUUCAAAAUCUUCUCUUAAUUAUGUAAAUACCCUGUUAAUGGCUGGUAGGGAUCCAUACAUGUCUUUAAAUUUACUUCUGAAUCUUGGAGAGCUUGACUUGUCUGAUGAAAAUGCUGCGAUAUAUCAUUCCACAUGACCAACACAAAUACAUGCUGCAGUGUUUGCAUUUUAUUGGUGAUGUUUUCAGCUUUUCUUUUGGUAUCUCCUUUUUAUGUCUGGUCUUCAGCAAUAUUUUCUAAAUACCUAAAAUCUGAGUGAAUGAUUUCAGAUUGCACUCAUUGCUAUAGCAUGCGCUUCCUAACGUGUUACAAAGACAUUUUAAUACUCUGUCAUUGCCUAAAUAUAUUUUAAGAACUGCCCAUUGGUGAGUAAAGGUGGCAAAAAAUGUGUAGAGUAACUGAACAGUAGAAAAAAAAAUCAGCUGUUUCCGGACAACAAUCUACUGUGCCACAUCCCGUAAGAUUAAGUGAAUGCGCAGCACACGAUAUGAAAACAGCAUAUUCAUUACAUUAUAAAGUUUUCAGUUGCAUGCCUUUAUAACACCCUGACAUACUGGCAACGUUGUCAUAGGACUGCCCUCUGGACUUAGAAAAAGCCAAGUUGCAAACUUCACAUAAAUAGUGAAGUACUUGGUUCGCAAUUUCUUCACUGGUAUGACUUUUUAAACAAGUAAAUGUGGUAAAUUGCGCGACAUGUUUUUUAUCCGUUGGAGACAUGUAUCUUAAAACAGUACUUAGCUUAUCUGAUUGAGAAAGAUCAGGAGUGGAAUCUGCAAACUGAAAUAUUGAGCUAUACUUUUCUCACCAAAAAUAAUUGAUUGAACUUUAUCACUUAUUAAGUUUAUUAAUUCUUCACACAUUGUUUCAGACAUAUAUGAUGAGUUGUACUUUCAUGUGUUACCAUUUUUAGAGACAUGACCUGCUAAAGUUGAUAAAACUGAGCAAAAAGUUCAAGUAAACUCUAAAAAUUUCCAUUUUAUGAGAACUUAAACACUUCAUUUCUUCCUUGAAAAGAUAAGUCCACAUUCAGCCAUUGUUAUAAUGACAGCAACAGUGCGUUGCAAACAGCUUUCCAUUACUGACAUUCUUCAUUAAUUUGUUUUCAGUUCAUGAGUUAAGCCAAAACCAUGUCUUUGGUUUAAAUAUGACACCAUACAAUCUUUGUGAAUUGAACUGUUUUCAUGUUUAUCAAUCAUAUUUGAGUUGCACCAAUCGCUAAAUCCAUCCAUAGCAAAUUGAGAAUUAAAUGAUUUAGGACUGAAUAGUUUGCAAACAAAACAAUACACAGAGCCAUCUGAUGGAGAAUACAGUAACUACUCCCUCUUAUAAUUUUCACCAUUAGCUUUGCAAUGUAGAAAUAUAUUCCGGCUACAGAACCUUGUUUGUUUACCACCCAGAAGUUUUUGACACAAAUUUUCAAAUGGUCCACUGUGAUGUUAAAAAUCAUUUGGCCCUCUUUUGUUCCAAUAAUUUACAUCAUUAGAAGAAAAAUUAUUCCACAAAGUAGGAUCUGUAUUUCUGUUAUUUAUGGGGUCUGCAGAUGCAACAAUGUCAGAUUCCAAAAUAGUUUCACUUUCUACAUCAUCAGUAAUUUUUUUACUAUAGCAAGGAAUGGAUGGAGAAUUUGCAACAAAUUCUCUUGUAUUCGUAUUGCAAAUAUUUAAGCACAAGCAGUACUAGUACAAAGAUUUGCACCCAUUAAACUUAAGCAUGCAAUACAAGAAGUCUUUUCUGCUUCCUUAUGUUUUUAAAAGGAAGUUAAUUUUUGAAUUGUCUUUAAAGCCUGUUGUGGUCCAGUCGACUCCGACCCAUAGCGACCCUAUAGGACAGAGUAGAACUGCCCCAUAGAGUUUCCAAGGAGCGCCUGAUGGAUUUGAACUGCCAGCUUUUUGGUUAGCCCCCAUAGCUCUCAACCACUACGCUACCAGGAACGUGGUGGACCCACAAAUUAUUUUCUCCUCAUCUUCUGUGAGUUUUUGUUUUUGCACUCCACUUAGUUGUUGUCAUUUCAUUUUACCUACAUACAAAAUUAUGCCACUUUUAAAAUUUGGUUCUACUGUAGCAAAUAAAUUUGAGUAAUUGAACAUAAAUAAAUUUAUUAAAAAAGUAAAAUUUAUAAAAUAAAAUUUACUUUUGCAUUUGGACAUCAACACAAAACUUUGUAUUUGAAAGCUAGUAAGUAAAAAAAUUUGAUUUGGAAUGUGUAAUUUUGUUUUUCAGGUCUGAGACAGUCAAGAGAAAUAGUACUUACAAGGCAGUUGGAAAUAACUUCAUUCAUUUGUCAUACAAACACAAGGACCAACUUUACUGGUCAUAUUUAUAAAUGCUUUGAUUUGACAUGCUACAUUUGGCUUGUUAGGAUUUCAUUUUUUAAAUUUUGCAACUAUAUUCAGAUUACAUAUAUAAAAUGCUUUGAAAAUUACACUGUACUUGAAGUUCAAAGUAUUACGAAUAGGUAGCUGUGUGUAGUGAGUUUUUGUUAAACUCACUCUAUGCCUGUUCAAGUCCCCUAUGCCCUCGGCCUCUUCUUUCUACCCAUCACCUCCUCCUUUCCUCAGUAGUGUAAAUGGCAGGAUCCCCACUUGAGCGCUAUUCCUCUGCCCCAUCGUCCUCCUUCGAACCUUCCCAAUCCAGGUUUGAUCCAGCUGUCCACCUCCUCCAUGGCUGCAUCUGGGCUACAGAGCUUUGCCAGAGAAAAAGCGUACAAUGGUGAGGACUGUUUCUACUCUACGACUUGCAGUCUCCUCCCUCAGCUCACCCCUCAGUGUUUCCUCCAAUUACUUCUGUAUUUCUCAAAUCAGAGCUUUAUAUUUCAAAUAUGUAUGAAUAAGUUUUAACUGUAAUUUUCUCUUUUAAUGUUGUACCAUUUGAAUAAAUAACCACAAUAAAAAUAUUUUUUAAAAAGUCUUAUACUGUUUCUUCCUAGUUUAUAGGUGUAAUGGUAUGCCUUAAUUUUUUUUAAUUAACUUCUAUUAAGCUUCAAGUGAACGUUUACAAAUCCAAUCCGUCUGUCACAUAUAAGUUUACAUACAUCUUACUCCGUACUCCGACUUGCUCUCCCCCUCUUGAAUCAGCCCUUUCAGUCUCUC